GACGAACGCUGGCGGCGUGCCUAAUACAUGCAAGUCGAGCGCAGGAAAUCGACGGAACCCUUCGGGGGGAAGUCGAUGGAAUGAGCGGCGGACGGGUGAGUAACACGUAAAGAACCUGCCCUCAGGUCUGGGAUAACCACGAGAAAUCGGGGCUAAUACCGGAUGGGUCAUCGGACCGCAUGGUCCGAGGAUGAAAGGCGCUUCGGCGUCGCCCGGGGAUGGCUUUGCGGUGCAUUAGCUAGUUGGUGGGGUAAUGGCCCACCAAGGCGACGAUGCAUAGCCGACCUGAGAGGGUGAUCGGCCACACUGGGACUGAGACACGGCCCAGACUCCUACGGGAGGCAGCAGUAGGGAAUCUUCCACAAUGGACGAAAGUCUGAUGGAGCAACGCCGCGUGAACGAUGAAGGCCUUCGGGUCGUAAAGUUCUGUUGUAAGGGAAGAACAAGUGCCGCAGGCAAUGGCGGCACCUUGACGGUACCUUGCGAGAAAGCCACGGCUAACUACGUGCCAGCCGCCGCCGUAAGAC
rnacentral:rRNA from 1 species